rnacentral:rRNA from 1 species
GACGAACGCUGGCGGCGUGCUUAACACAUGCAAGUCGAACGGAAAGGCCCUGCUUUUGUGGGGUGCUCGAGUGGCGAACGGGUGAGUAACACGUGAGUAACCUGCCCUUGACUUUGGGAUAACUUCAGGAAACUGGGGCUAAUACCGGAUAGGAGCUCCUGCUGCAUGGUGGGGGUUGGAAAGUUUCGGCGGUUGGGGAUGGACUCGCGGCUUAUCAGCUUGUUGGUGGGGUAGUGGCUUACCAAGGCUUUGACGGGUAGCCGGCAUGAGAGGGUGACCGGCCCCAUUGGGACUGAGAUACGGCCCAGACUCCUACGGGAGGCAGCAGUGGGGAAUAUUGCACAAUGGGCGGAAGCCUGAUGCAGCAACGCCACGUGCGGGAUGACGGCCUUCGGGUUGUAAACCGCUUUAGCCUGUGACGAAGCGUGAGUGACGGUAAUGUGUAAAGAAGCACCGGCUAAAUACGUG